GAUGAACGCUGGCGGCGUGCCUAAUACAUGCAAGUCGAGCGAACAGACGAGGAGCUUGCUCCUCUGACGUUAGCGGCGGACGGGUGAGUAACACUUGGAUAACCUACCUAUAAGACUGGGAUAACUUCGGGAAACCGGAGCUAAUACCGGAUAAUAUAUUGAACCGCAUGGUUCAAUAGUGAAAGACGGUUUUGCUGUCACUUAUAGAUGGAUCCGCGCCGCAUUAGCUAGUUGGUAAGGUAACGGCUUACCAAGGCGACGAUGCGUAGCCGACCUGAGAGGGUGAUCGGCCACACUGGAACUGAGACACGGUCCAGACUCCUACGGGAGGCAGCAAUAGGGAAUCUUCCGCAAUGGGCGAAAGCCUGACGGAGCAACGCCGCGUGAGUGAUGAAGGUCUUCGGAUCGUAAAACUCUGUUAUUAGGGAAGAACAAAUGUGUAAGUAACUAUGCACGUCUUGACGGUACCUAAUCAGAAAGCCACGGCUAACUACGUG
rnacentral:rRNA from 1 species